rnacentral:rRNA from 1 species
GAUGAACGCUAGCGGCAGGCCUAAUACAUGCAAGUCGAACGGUGUCUUCGGACAUAGUGGCGCACGGGUGCGUAACACGUAUGCAACCUACCUUACAUUGGGGGAUAGCCUUUCGAAAGGGAGAUUAAUACCGCAUAAGACAGUAGCUGGGCAUCCAGCAGCUGUUAAAGAUUUAUCGAUGUAAGAUGGGCAUGCGUCCAAUUAGUUAGUUGGCGAGGUAACGGCUCACCAAGACUUUGAUUGGUAGGGGAACUGAGAGGUCAAUCCCCCACACUGGCACUGAGAUACGGGCCAGACUCCUACGGGAGGCAGCAGUAGGGAAUAUUGGGCAAUGGACGCAAGUCUGACCCAGCCAUGCCGCGUGCAGGAUGAAGGCGUUAUGCGUUGUAAACUGCUUUUAUACAGGAAGAAACGACUCUUGCGAGAGGCAUUGACGGUACUGUAUGAAUAAGCACCGGCUAACUACGUGCA